GAAACUGCCUUCCCACUGCCUUCCCGGAGUGGGAUGGGCCACUAGGCUGUGGCAGCCCCAGGAGAAUCUCAGGCAGAGGAAGACUGGGAGACUGCGCCUAAGUGUGUCUGUGUACUGAAGACCUGAAACCCAAGGACUGAGAGGGAGCAGGGGCUGGCAAUGCGGGAAGCGGAUCUGCAUAUAGCAUAAAGUUUUCCCUCUUUGGGGGCAUCUUCUCUUUUCAAAACUGCCAUCCUGGAGUAGGCUGGCCUGGCUAGGCCACAGGAGCUCUGAGGAGGAUCCUCCAGCUGUCCCCAAAGUUACUCCUGGCCUGGAGAAUGGAAGGAUGGGGUAAGAGGAGACUUGUAUCCACUUGCUACCAUGUACAGGAAAACAGGACAGAAGGACUAAGGUGAAGACAGGGACAUCCAGGCAUAGGUGACAUAAGCAGGCAGCGUGUCCUAUGCACACAACUGGUUCAUGGCUCACGGGAUAGUGACGAAGUGGCAGGGUGGGCAUAAGGUUGUACUCAGACUUCUGGCCAGACUAAUUUGACACCCAUGGUGCUGGGCUUGGCAUUAGGCGAGGCCAUGACUGUAUUCCAGGGAUGCUAGGAGCAAGAGGGAAGGGCAAACUUGGGGAAACCAGUGAGGGGCAGCGGGAAGGCAGAGUGGUGCCCAGCGCAAGGCCCCUCCCUCGAGAGGCAGCUGUUCCCCAAGGUUGUACCCCGUUGCUCACUCACAGUGCAUGUGGGAUUCGGUGCCUGCCUGGCACGCAGAGCAUGCUCAGCCCUGCCCUGAGCAGCUUCCCAGCUCACAGUGCAAGUCCAGGGCUGGUGCAAGGCCUGGGGUGGGGCCUUUGUACCCUGGGGCCCAGUUCCCUGGCUGUAAGACUAGCAGGCAGGCUGAAGGAUCCAGAGAACUCCAGAGGAUAAUCUGCUAGCUGCUUGUCAUCUGCUGUCUGCUUUGGGCCUUGGGUCUCACCUAGGCAUGACAUGGACCCCAACUGCUCCUCACCACUGGUAAGAGAUGCCUGGCUCUCUGUCUAUGGGUAUCCCAUUCCCAGCCCCAGGACAGUGUAUCCCUGGCUUUGAGGAGGUCACAUUGAGUUCUGAGCUCCCUAUGUGGACUCACUUUGUGCGAUGCUUUCUUUCUGGCUAUGCACCUGACAGUAUGUGCAUUUUCCCUGUGCCUCUCUGUCAAAGUUUGGGGUUCAAUGCUGUCCUCCCUGGUGUCACACAGCUGGUCAGUUGGCUGCUGGCUGGGCCCUAGGGCUCUGUGCAGAUCUCAAAGUAAUCAGGGUGGAUGGAAGGCAGAGGAAGGGGCCUCUUUGGAAUUGAGGACAGAUGGCCCUGGUCUCCAGUCCCAGUCAUUCUGGGCUGGGUCUGGGGUCUGUGACCAUCCUGAGUGGGGAAGCAGAGGGGGAACUUGGCCUUCUGAGAUGAGGAGACAGAAGCUGUGCUUCUUCCCUCCUUCCCCAGUGAGGGAGGAAUUUGGGGGAUGACCCCUCUCACAGGAGAGGCUGUGGAGAGUUAACAUCCACUGCUGUGCCCCCUGCAUCUCAGUGUGAGCUCACUGCCUUUCUCCUCUUCACAGGUGGUUCCUGCAUCUGUGCCAGCUCCUGCACAUCCAAAGGGUGCAAAGGCACCUCCUGCAAGAAGAGCUACUGCUCCUGCUGUCCUGUAAACUGUGCCAAGUGUGCCCAGGGCUGCAUCUGCACAGAGGCAUCAGACAAGAACAUCUGCUGCACCUGAUGAAGGGGGAUCCUGCUCCCAUGUGUGCAGAGAGUGCCUGUAAAAACCUACAUUUUUUCAUAUCCUGACCCAUUUACUGUAGGGAACAGGGAAAGGGGAUGUUACUAGAACCUCUGCAGUAAGUCCCAGUCUCCUGUAAGCCAUGGCAGCACAAGGUGAAUUAACAUAUUAUACAGGAAAGGUCGAAAAAAAUGAGACUUGGAGAAGCUGAGCUUUGGGCCUGAUCAGUGCUGGCUGCUCUGGAUAGCAGAAACAAAAGCCCGGGAGUUUGCCUCACCUUUUAUUCAGUACAUGGGAGAAACAAAUGUAACAGAUAACUGGGGAGUGGUGGAAUCCCUAGAUCCAUGAGGAACUAUACAGAUGAAGAUUUGGUUCCUCCCAGGAGGUCUCCCGCAGAUGUGGUCUUGCCCUGGAGCAUCACAGCAUCACGGGAUCCUUGAGGUCUCAGUUAUGACCAUAGGCCAAAAUGGAAUCUGUCUUGAAAUGCCAUAGCUGGCCUGUGGGCAGGAAAACUAGGCCUAAUCAAAUGAUUUUUCCCUAAAAUUAUGUAGCACUGCUCCGAACGACUUACUACAUCUUUUUCUAUGAAAUAUGUGAGCAGAAUAAACAGAUCCAAACUAUUUGGCUCCAGGUGUCUCUUGGGAAUUGGGGACUGGUUCUAGUUGGGUUGUAGGGGUCCCUGGAUGAGGGAGGACAAUGGGAGUGGAGUCCAGGCUCAAGGUGUCCUGCAUUUGUCCUGGCUCUGGUUGUCCUCUGUGAACUGUACCAGGAAUUUCCUCCACCACCUUAAUAAACAGUGAGCUGCUGGUCACUGUCCUUUUUAUGUCACAACCUACAUCCAGUAGCCAUUUCUGGUGCACCUACUGCCUACACAGCUGGACAUGGAGUUCGCAGUAAUGAAAGGAACAUAACACCUAGAGUACCUCUCCUGGAGAGACAGUCAUGGAAUAGGAAGACUUCUAAACAGCAGCCAGGACCGAGAAGCAGAUUAACUUGGAACAAUUGUUAAAUUGUUGAUGUGGCUGUAAUUGAAUCCCAGAAGUUUCAGUGCCCAGUUGACCCUGGAGAAAAAGCCUGGUGAAACAGGUGAGAGCAUUGGCUCUGCAGCCAGACUGCCUGGCUGGGACCCCAUCCACCACUUAGGCAGGUUGUGUGCCUGUCUGUGCCUCCCAUGCCUCUUCUGUAGAGACAGUAAUCAUGCUGCCCUGGCGGGUUUAUUGUGAAGUUGAAAGUGUUCAGUUCCACCCCGGGCACAUGUCAAGGGCUCAGUAAGUUCCAUUCCUUUAUGGUAAGGUGUGAUGUUUGACAAAUAGUAGGUGACUCAUAAGUGUUCUCUACUUAAUCCAGUGGGCACUCAUGGAAUCCUCUUCUGGCUUUAAAUCAGUGUACCAGGCACAGAAGAUUCAAUCAUUUUUUUUCCUGGAGAUCUUAUUCAAGUCUCCUUUUGUGUCAGAACAACUCAGUCCUAGUGUAUGAGGAUAGGCCCCAUGAUUUCAGAUCAAAGAAAGAGGCAGACAGGUAUAGGACUGCACAGAGUACAAUAUACAGGGACUUACUGAUGGAAGUGAACAACAGCAGCAAGACCAGUUGUGUUAGAAAGAGGCAUAAUUAUGGUUUGGAACAAAAGUGACUUCAUCCUGGCUGGAAUGUAUCUGCUUUGUCUUAAUAUCAUACUGAAAAUUCGGGCACAUCAUGGAAGCCAGAGUCUGGUGUAAAACUUCUCAUAUGAUUCUAGCAGUUAUAUCUAUUUAUGGUUUGCUGGAAAACUAUGUGGGAGAAAACCAACUAGGGUCAGUCUGAGGCAACCAUGGUGGUUAUGACCCAAGAUGGCUGCAGUCCUGUCAAGCUGUAUACAUAUACUGUGGAUGGGAUUCAGGGAGCAUUUACCACUUCAAGAUGCUGCUGCUGAGCUGGGCACAGAGCUGCAGAGAGUGAACAUUACCAGCUUCACAAGAAGGAUCUUUCCACACAGAUGCUGGGAUAGGCUGAGUGUGAGACAUGCGAAGAUGGAAGUAUGGAAGCCUUGGAGAAGAGUAUGACUUCUGACCAGGAGGCUGGGUGAUGACCCUGUUCACUCACUCACUCAUUGACUCACUCACGUGAUCACAUCUUGGUCACAGCACAUGGAGCAUCUGUGGGUUGGCUACAAAAGCAGGAGCUUAACUCUUCCACAGGGGCUGGCAGGGCACCCUGCCCAUUGUGGUUGAUCCAUACUGGAUGAAGGCAAACUGAACCAAGCAGAUUCUCUCUUCCGAGCUGCAGGUUAGGGGAUACACUGAAACUUCUGUAUAACUGGACCAAAUUUGUGGCACAGUACAGACCUACCCCAAAUGAUACCCAUGAGAAUGAACAGACCAAGCACCACGGCUGCCUUUCUGUGAAACUGAAGUAUAUUUCAGUCUCCUAUGGACCCUGUGAGGCUGAACAUCUGCUAAAAGAGGUUCCAAGGACACCUUACUUCCUUGUGAAUUAUGAAAGCAAACCUUGCUUCAGGAUUCCUUAGAUGCAAGCAACAGAAAUGGACUCCAGCUAAAUUAGGCAAAACAAAUCCUUUGGAAGGGUGUAUUGGAGAUCCAUGGAAUUGACUGCCAGGAUGGAAAACUAGGCUCAGAAAAUGGACAGGAGCUGUAGCUGACCAGACAGCUGGUUGUUUUCCAUGAGCUGCUUUUGCCUUCCCAAAUAUUCCCACCUUUGUCAUUGAGCACUACUAUAGUGAAUGGAUUCUUAACUCUCCCUUGAGUUCUUCAUACCUCACACAAGACCUAAAGGCCAAGGAAGUCCAGGUAGCUGCAAAGGUGAGGAGGAAUAUCUGGCCACCUUCAGAUUCCCCAGUAGAACCUAGGG